GGGUCCCUGGAGGACUAGUGGUUAGGCCAUGGCGCUCUCACCACCGUGGCCCAGGUUCGAUUCUACUGGGGUUGCA